rnacentral:rRNA from 1 species
GAUGAACGCUAGCUCCAGGCUUAACACAUGCAAGUCGAGGGACCGGCGCCCGGGUGAGUAACCCGUAACCAACCUGCCCUUUACUCGGUGAUAGCCUUUCGAAAGAAAGAUUAAUACCCGACAUAAAGGAUGGGGAUGCGUUCCAUUAGGUUGUUGGUGAGGUAACGGCCCACCAAGCCUUCAAUGGAUCGGGGUGCUGAGAGGAAGGGCCACCACAAUGGAACUAGGACACGGACCAAACUGCGACGGGAGGGUGCAGUGAGGAAUAAUAGGCAAUGGGCGCUAUCCUGAACAAGCCGAGUAGCGUGAAGAAUGAAGGAGUAGGGGUCGUAAACUACUUUGAUAGAAGAAUGAGUAUUAUAUGAAUAAGGAUCGGCUAACUCCGUGCCAGCAGCCGCGGUAAUAC